GCCUGAGUGGCUCAGUGGUUGAGCAUCUGCCUUUGGCUCAGAUUGAGAUCCCAGGGUCUUGGGAUCGAGUCCCACAUCAGGCU
rnacentral:tRNA from 1 species